rnacentral:tRNA from 1 species
GCGGGCGUCGCCAAGUGGUUAAGGCCUCGGAUUGUGGUUCCGAUAUGCGUGGGUUCGAAUCCCACCUCCCGCCCCA